GAUGAACGCUGGCGGCGUGCUUAACACAUGCAAGUCGAACGAAGCACUUUAUUUGAUUUCCUUCGGGACUGAUUAUUUUGUGACUGAGUGGCGGACGGGUGAGUAACGCGUGGGUAACCUGCCUUGUACAGGGGGAUAACAGUUGGAAACGGCUGCUAAUACCGCAUAAGCGCACGGCAUCGCAUGAUGCAGUGUGAAAAACUCCGGUGGUAUAAGAUGGACCCGCGUUGGAUUAGCUAGUUGGUGGGGUAACGGCCCACCAAGGCGACGAUCCAUAGCCGACCUGAGAGGGUGACCGGCCACAUUGGGACUGAGACACGGCCCAAACUCCUACGGGAGGCAGCAGUGGGGAAUAUUGCACAAUGGGCGAAAGCCUGAUGCAGCGACGCCGCGUGAGCGAAGAAGUAUUUCGGUAUGUAAAGCUCUAUCAGCAGGGAAGAUAAUGACG
rnacentral:rRNA from 1 species